rnacentral:rRNA from 1 species
AUCUGCUCCAUGAAAAAUUUUAAAUAGCUGCAGAAUUUUAACUGUACAAAGGUAGCAUAAUCAAUAGUUUUUUAAUUAAAAGCUGGUAUGAAUGAUUUGAUAAGGUAAUUAUUGUCUCAAAUUUAUUAAAAUUAGAAUUUUUUUUUUUGUUAAAAAACUAAAAUGAAUUUAAAAGACGAGAAGACCCUAUAGAUUUUUAUAUUAUUAAUUAAUUAAAUUAAAAUUUAUUAAUAAAAUUUAAUUAAAUAAUAUUUGAUUGGGGAAAUUAUUAAAAUGAAAAAAUUUUAAUUUAAGAUAAACAUUAAUUUUUGGUAAUUUGAACUUAAUUAAAAAUUUAAAGAAUAAAUUACCUUAGGGAUAACAGCGUAAUUUUUUUGGGGAGAUCUUAUUGAUAAAAAAGUUUGCGACCUCGAUGUUGAAUUAAGAUAAAAUUUUAAUGUARAAAUUAAAAAUUUUUGGUCUGUUCGACCAUUAAAAUCUUACGUGAUCUGAG